UGAUGAGGUUUGCCCAAAGCUCAGGAAAAUAACAAGGGAAAGAUGAAAUCAUGAACAAUGGAAAGAUUGGCAGGACCAAUGUGGAAUGAACAAAUUGUUGAAAAGAUGGUAAUUCAUUUACAGAAUUGGCAGCUUGGAAGAGAUGUGGAUUUUAGCAUUUAACAUUUACAGUUGUUAGCUAAUCUCUUACGUGCUUAGAACCCAUGGAUGGAUUUACACGAACCGCUCUGGCUUUCCAGGUUCUCUGACUCUUGACAGGUCAGAAAUGAAGUUUGUGCAUGGAUGCCAGUCUGUGGAUCACAUUUCGAGUAGCACUGCUUUGACCCAUUUGUACCUGGAUCGCACAUUUUGGCAGGAGACAUCUGAAAUAUACAGUCAAAUGAGCUAUCCCAGCCAACAUGGAGCAGAGAGCGAGGUGGGAUUGGGUGAGUACAGAGAACACAAGGUUUAGAAGCUGAGUUCACAGUCAGCACAACUAUCAACCUGCUGUGAGGAUUCGGGCAAACAGGGUUCUUUCCGUUCUGAAGUUUCAUGAGGCAAGUUAAAGUUCUCCAUGAAUUCUGUACAAUCAAAAUUCAUGACUGUAUGAAUAAUUCAGAAAAGAGGGUUUCAGAUGGAGCUAUUCAGACAGACUUUGUUCAUCUUUCAAGUCAUUGAUGAAAACAGUCAGAACUCCAGGAUCACCUGGCUGAGGUUCAGAAAUUGUAUUCAUUCAUUCAUUCAUUCA